rnacentral:rRNA from 1 species
UCCUACGGGAGGCAGCAGUGAGGAAUAUUGGACAAUGGGGGAAACCCUGAUCCAGCAACGCCGCGUGAAAUGAUGAAGCUGUUACGCAGUGUAAAGUUCUGUAAGGAGGGAAGAACCCUACCGGGUAUUGCCCGGUCUGACGGUACCUCCUAAGUAAGCACCGGCUAACUCCGUGCCAGCAGCCGCGGUAAUACGGGGGGUGCAAGCGUUGUCCGGAUUUAUUAGGGCGUAAAGGGCUCGUAGGCGGGACUUUAAGUCCGGCGUGAAAUCUCAUGGCUCAACCAUGAAAACUGCGCUGGAAACUGGAGUUCUUGAAUUGCGAAGAGGAAGACGGAAUUCCUGGUGUAGCGGUGGAAUGCGUAGAUAUCAGGAAGAACACCGAUGGCGAAGGCAGUCUUCUGGUCGUCGGAUUGACGCUGAGGAGCGAAAGCGUGGG